GCAGGGGUGGUUCAGUGGUAGAAUUCUCACCUUCCAUGCAGGAGACCAGAGUUUGAUUCCCGGCCACUGCG
rnacentral:tRNA from 1 species